rnacentral:lncRNA from 1 species
ACCAUUAUCUAUAAGAAAUUCGUACUCUUCUUCCAUAGCCUUCUCCCACUUUAUUACAUCUUCACACUUCAUAGCAUCACACAAUGACAAUAGAUCAGCAAGAAGAGCAAUGUUUGCAUGUUCUUCACUUACUUGAGGGAAGAUGUGAUCCUUCCACUAUUCUCCACGUUGCCUUCUUUCUCUCUAGGGAUAUCUCCUUUCACUUGUAGAAGAACAUUCACCUUGUUGCAUUUUAUCAAUCUUCUUCUCUCUUAAACCUUGUCAUUUUUUAUCCAAUGAUUGGUACUCUUCAUCAUUGUCAUCAUCCCAAUCUUCAACAUCUUCAUUUCUUUCAUUGUUGGUUCUUUCAAUUGUAGGAGCCUUCAUCUUUUCUACCUUCUUUGGCUUUUCAUCUUCAUCAUCUUCAUUGUCUUUAUCUUCUUCAGUCUUUGCUGAAUUCAAAGAUGUGUCUACAAAUACACCUUUACUCCUACUUGGACACAUCUCUAAAUGCUCACAAGCACUCUUAUGCUCCAAAAACUUCACAUCACGACUUUUGAUGAUCUUCUUGGAUUUCAAGCACAUAAGCCUAUAUGCCUUAGUACCUUCACAAUAACCAAGAAACAC